UACGGAGGGUGCAAGCGUUGUUCGGAAUUAUUGGGCGUAAAGGGCGCGUAGGCGGUAAUGUAAGUCAGAUGUGAAAUACUCCGGCUCAACCAGAGAACAGCAUCUGAAACUGCAUAACUAGAGUACAGAAGAGGGAAACGGAAUUCCCGGUGUAGAGGUGAAAUUCGUAGAUAUCGGGAGGAACACCAGUGGCGAAGGCGGUUUCCUGGUCUGAUACUGACGCUGAGGCGCGAAAGCGUGGGGAGCAAAC
rnacentral:rRNA from 2 species